CCUCCGUUGAUCCUGCCGGACCCGACUGCUAUCAGAGUGGGACUAAGCCAUGCGAGUCAACGUAGCAAUACGUGGCAUACGGCUCAGUAACACGUAGUCAACAUGCCCAGGGGACGAGGAUAACCUCGGGAAACUGAGGAUAAACCUCGAUAGGCCAUGAUUUCUGGAAUGAUUCUUGGCUCAAACCUAUAUGGCCCCUGGAUUGGACUGCGGCCGAUCAGGCUGUUGGUGAGGUAAUGGCCCACCAAACCUAUUACCGGUACGGGCUCUGAGAGGAGGAGCCCGGAGAUGGGCACUGAGACAAGGGCCCAGGCCCUAUGGGGCGCAGCAGGCGCGAAACCUCUGCAAUAGGCGAAAGCUUGACAGGGUUACUCUGAGUGAUUUCCGCUAAGGGAAUCUUUUGGCACCUCUAAAAAUGGUGCAGAAUAAGGGGUGGGCAAGUCUGGUGUCAGCCGCCGCGGUAAUACCAGCACCCCGAGUGGUCGGGACGAUUAUUGGGCCUAAAGCAUCCGUAGCCGGUCCUGCAAGUCUUCCGUUAAAUCCAGCUGCUCAACAGAUGGGCUGCGGGAGAUACUACAGGGCUAGGAGGCGGGAGAGGCAAGCGGUACUUUAUGGGUAGGGGUAAAAUCCGCUGAUCCAUAGAAGACCACCAGUGGCGAAGGCGGCUUGCCAGAACGCGCUCGACGGUGAGGGAUGAAAGCUGGGGGAGCAAACCGGAUUAGAUACCCGGGUAGUCCCAGCUGUAAACGAUGCAGACUCGGUGAUGGGUUGGCCUCGCGCCUGCCCAGUGCCGCAGGGAAGCCGUUAAGUCUGCCGCCUGGGGAGUACGGUCGCAAGACUGAAACUUAAAGGAAUUGGCGGGGGAGCA
rnacentral:rRNA from 1 species